UGGGGGAUAUUGCACAAUGGGGGAAACCCUGAUGCAGCAACGCCGCGUGAGGGAAGAAGGUUUUCGGAUUGUAAACCUCUGACGCAGGUGAAGAUAAUGACGGUAGCCUGAGAGAAAGCUCCGGCUAACUACGUGCCAGCAGCCGCGGUAAUACGUAGGGAGCGAGCGUUGUCCGGAAUUACUGGGUGUAAAGGGUGCGUAGGCGGCAAAGGAAGUCAGGCGUGAAAGGUAAGGGCUUAACCCUUAGAGUGCGCUUGAAACUCUUUUGCUUGAGUGAAGCAGAGGCAGGCGGAAUUCCCGGUGUAGCGGUGAAAUGCGUAGAGAUCGGGAGGAACACCAGUGGCGAAGGCGGCCUGCUGGGCUUUAACUGACGCUGAGGCACGAAAGCGUGGGGAGCAAACA
rnacentral:rRNA from 1 species